UACGUAGGGUGCAAGCGUUGUCCGGAAUUAUUGGGCGUAAAGAGCUCGUAGGCGGUCUGUCGCGUCUGCUGUGAAAACCUGGGGCUUAACCCCGGGCCUGCAGUGGGUACGGGCAGACUAGAGUGCGGUAGGGGAGACUGGAAUUCCUGGUGUAGCGGUGAAAUGCGCAGAUAUCAGGAGGAACACCGGUGGCGAAGGCGGGUCUCUGGGCCGUAACUGACGCUGAGGUGCGAAAGCGUGGGGAGCAAACAGG
rnacentral:rRNA from 1 species